rnacentral:sRNA from 1 species
GAGGGGUAAUGGGGUUGGGGCCCCGACUGGUCUGCAAAACCAGAGUCACGGUUGGAAGAAACCGUGGUGGGUUCGAUUCCCACUGCCCCUCUCCA